UCAUCAAGUAGGAUAAUCCUUACCUCUUCCUCCUUUUGGUGGGCAGAUUGGAACAAGAUGGCUGGAGUUUGCCUGACUCACAAUUAACAUCUCUGCAUAAUUUGGAGAUGCUAUACUCUGUUUGCUCCUAUCUGAU